CGCAAGGGGUCAACGUGCGAACGCCCCGUCAGGCCCAGGCCCAAGUUUCGCAUUCUUUGCUGUACCAAAGCGGAAGGAUGCCGACAUG
rfam:Tropicibacter litoreus R37 strain CECT 7639 genome assembly, contig: 0001